CCGAGUCUGGAAGGCUGGGCAGAGGCUGCGACGGGGACGAGAUGGGAAGAGACCGGGUCUGGCCAAAGUGCUCUGAAUCCAGAAGGCCUUCCUCAUUCUUUUAACAAAAACUUACUGGGACCUCGGUAUGUGUCAGCCCCUGAUUGUCAAGCUGAGGAUAUCAAGCAUCAGUCUUUUCCAGUGAGUCAACUCUUCGCAUGAGGUGGCCAAAGGAUUGGAGUUUCAGCUUUAGCAUCAGUCCUUCCAAUGAACACCCAGGAUCGAUCUCCUCUAGAAUGGACUGGUUGGAUAUCCUUGCCGUCCAAGGGACUCUCAAGAGUCUUCUCCAGCACCACAGUUCAAAAGCAUCAAUUCUUCGGCGAUCAGCUUUCUUCACGUAUAUUGUCACCCUGCUUAUUUAACUUAUAUGCAGAGUACUUCAGAAUAGAAGGGCGCCUCUGGAGUGAUCAUCCCUGGGGACGGAGUUUGCCUUGGAGGGAUUCGUCCCACCCCUGCUGUCACUGUCACUGAAAAGUAAAGUCACACGGGAAGGAAGGAGAUGGAGUAAAAAAGGAAGGAGGGAAGAAGGAAUUAAGGGAAACAGAACUUCCACCCCACCCCACGCCCGCUCCACCCUCCCCACCCCCAGCGUCCAACAGUUAAGGCUCUGUGCUCCCAGUGCAGGGUCAGUAAGCUAAGAUCCCAUAUGCUGCGUAGCAUGGCCAAUAAAAUAAAAUGAUGGAG
rnacentral:lncRNA from 1 species